UGGGGAAUCUUGCGCAAUGGCCUGACGGCUGACGCAGCGACGCCGCGUGUGGGAGGACGCCCCUCGGGGUGUAAACCACUGUUGCCCGGGACGAACGCCCGCUUUAGAGCGGGGUGACGGUACCGGGUGAGGAAGCACCGGCUAACUCCGUGCCAGCAGCCGCGGUAAUACGGAGGGUGCGAGCGUUGUCCGGAAUCACUGGGCGUAAAGGGCGCGUAGGCGGUCCGGUAAGCGUGUGGUGAAAGCCCGGGGCUCAACCCCGGGUCGGCCGUGCGAACUGCGGGACUGGAGCACUGUAGAGGCAGGCGGAAUUCCGGGUGUAGCGGUGGAAUGCGCAGAGAUCCGGAAGAACACCGGUGGCGAAGGCGGCCUGCUGGGCAGUGGCUGACGCUGAGGCGCGACAGCGUGGGGAGCAAACAG
rnacentral:rRNA from 1 species